UGAGUUUAUUCAGAAGAACCAAGGUGAGAAAUAGGGUGAUGUUUCUCCUACCAGUUUACUUAAGGCUGUAUGUACGCUGCUUGAACCCUAAAAGCUGGGAAAUGAGCCAAGGCCACGGUGCUCAGCUGAGGAGCAGGUGUCCCUGAGAACCCAAACAUCCUAGAGUGUAUCUGGGAACAUACCAAGGAAAAGAGUCUCAUCACAUGCGGCAGCCAAAGAGCCACAAAAUCAGCUUAAAAGCAGCUUAGAGGCGUGUGGUGGGUGGAUCUCUAGAGUUCUCCUGAUGCUGCCCGAAAAUGUCCUGUUUGUGAAUCCUAAUAAACUCAUCUACUC
rnacentral:lncRNA from 1 species